rnacentral:rRNA from 12 species
ACUCCUACGGGAGGCAGCAGUGGGGAAUAUUGGACAAUGGGGGCAACCCUGAUCCAGCCAUGCCGCGUGUGUGAAGAAGGCCUUCGGGUUGUAAAGCUCUUUCAGAUGCGAAGAUGAUGACGGUAACAUCAGAAGAAGCCCCGGCUAAUUUCGUGCCAGCAGCCGCGGUAAUACGAAAGGGGCAAGCGUUGUUCGGAUUUACUGGGCGUAAAGGGCACGCAGGCGGUCUUGCCAGUCAGGGGUGAAAGCCCGGGGCUCAACCCCGGAACUGCCUCUGAUACUGCAAGACUAGAGACUAGGAGAGGGUGGUGGAAUUCCCAGUGUAGAGGUGAAAUUCGUAGAUAUUGGGAGGAACACCAGAGGCGAAGGCGGCUCACUGGACCGAUACUGACGCUGAGGAGCGAAAGCGUGGGGAGCAAACAGGAUUAGAUACCCUGGUAGUCCACGCCGUAAACGAUGUCAACUAGCCGUUGGGGAUCUUGAAUCCUUAGUGGCGCAGCUAACGCACUAAGUUGACCGCCUGGGGAGUACGGCCGCAAGGUUAAAACUCAAAUGAAUUGACGGGGGCCCGCACAAGCGGUGGAGCAUGUGGUUUAAUUCGACGCAACGCGAAGAACCUUACCUACACUUGACAUGCAGAGAACUUUCCAGAGAUGGAUUGGUGCCUUCGGGAACUCUGACACAGGUGCUGCAUGGCCGUCGUCAGCUCGUGUCGUGAGAUGUUGGGUUAAGUCCCGCAACGAGCGCAACCCUUGUCCUUAGUUGCCAGCAUUUAGUUGGGCACUCUAAGGAGACUGCCGGUGACAAACCGGAGGAAGGUGGGGAUGACGUCAGGUCAUCAUGGCCCUUACGGCCAGGGCUACACACGUGCUACAAUGGUGCGCACAGAGGGCUGCAAACCCGCGAGGGGGAGCUAAUCUCACAAAACGCAUCGUAGUCCGGAUCGGAGUCUGCAACUCGACUCCGUGAAGUCGGAAUCGCUAGUAAUCGUGAAUCAGAAUGUCACGGUGAAUACGUUCCCGGGCCUUGUACACACCGCCCGUCACACCAUGGGAGUGGAUUGCACCAGAAGUGGUUAGUCUAACCUUCGGGAGGACGAUCACCACGGUGUGGUUCAUGACUGGGGUGAAGUCGUAACAAGGUAGCCGUAGGGGAACCUGCGGCUGGAUCACC